AGCAGCCGCGGUAAUUCCAGCUCCAAUAGCGUAUAUUAAAGUUGUUGCAGUUAAAAAGCUCGUAGUUGAAUUUCGGGAUCAUCAGGUUGGUCGUGCCUCUGGUAUGUACUGAUUUCGAUGGUUCCUCCUUCUUGAAGAACCGUAAUGCCAUUAAUUUGGUGUUGCGGGGAAACAGGACUGUUACUUUGAAAAAAUUAGAGUGUUUAAAGCAGGCAAUCGCUUGAAUACAUUAGCAUGGAAUAAUGAAAUAGGACGUUCGAUCCUAUUUUGUUGGUUUCUAGGAUUGACGUAAUGAUUAAUAGGGAUAGUUGGGGGCAUUAGUAUUCAAUUGUCAGAGGUGAAAUUCUUGGAUUUAUUGAAGACUAACUACUGCGAAAGCAUUUGCCAAGGAUGUUUUCAUUAAUCAAGAACGAAAGUUAGGGGAUCGAAGACGAUCAGAUACCGUCGUAG
rnacentral:rRNA from 1 species